rnacentral:lncRNA from 1 species
UGUGUAUCUUGUAAUCUUUAACCUGUGAGUUUUUGUCCUGUUUUGGUUGAACACACACCUUUCUAUCUCGUCAUUGUGUGUUGUAGUGAAUCCGAGAGUUGGUCUCCAAUAGGUCCUCGAAUCUUGUGAUUUGUGGACUGUUUGGAGUGUAAUUUCGUGUAUCCCUUGGUUUUCUUGUAUCAUUUGGUAUCAAAGCAUGGCUUGAUCUUGUUCCCACAAGAUCAAUCUUGCGCUUGUUAGUUGAAAAAAAAAAUUGUUAAAAAAAAAGUUGAAAUCUGAAAAUUCCAGAAAAAUAGCAAUCUGUCCAUUUGUGUUCUUGGCCGAAAAUUGUGUUUUUGUUGUGUAUUGGCCAAGAUUUUUACUCGUCUUUGUUGUCUCUAAGUGUUAGUAUUGUUCCUCACUAAUACAUUGAGUCUAUAUCUUAGAUUUGAGCUUGAAAUGUUGAUGUUGUUGUUAUGAACAUAAGCUUGGCUGAUUGUUGUUGGUGUUGUUGUGGCUCACAGUUUGAAAUUGUAAUGUGAAUAUUGUUGUUGUUCUUAGUUUGGCCGUGUGAUGUUGUUAUAAAAUUGGUGUCCUAAGACCAAUUUUUUUAAAGAUAUGGUAGUCUUGGUCGUGUGAGACAAUAUUGUUGUGGGUUUAGAGUGGGCUGUGAAAAGGGAAUUGUUGGUGUUCUUGAAAAUUGUUGUUGUUGUUCUUGGUGAAUGUUGUUGUUGUUGUUGAUGUUCAUCACUAACUUCAUACCUUUCUAGAAAAAUAAAGUGCUUAUUUGAUCCAAAAAGGUGAAGGAAAAGGUGUAGAAACUUGUUAGUCUUGAAAGACCCCCAACCACUAAAGACCUAUCAAUCACUUCUCAACAACUUUUCCAUGAUUUAAGGACCUUGUCUUGAGGAGAAAAGUCAAGUCUUGCUUUUUGAAUUUGAAAGAGGAUUUCAAGACUUGUUUUCCCUCCUUAACCAAUUCCCACCAAUUCCAAAUUACAAUUGGAUCAAGACUUGAAUUGGAAAAUAAAAUUUGAUAACAACCGCAACCAAUACGUGGCUGCCACGUCACGUUUUACUGUUCACCGACAAUUUUUAAGCUCAAAUUUUAGAUGUCUUUGUUUCUGAUUUGUUGAUCCUUCGUUUCGUUUAAUUGAUCCUAGUACUAAUUAAUAAACUAGUAAACUCCUACUAGAUUGUCAAUUAGUCCUUUGAAUCCAUUGUUCGUGUCUACGUUUCUUUUGUGCUUUUAUCAUUUUUAAAAUCAUAAUACUUCUUGGUUCAAGUUCGGACACUACUUUUCUCGAGUCUUCAAACAAAGAAUUCAUUCCGACCAAGGAGUAGACUCACCCCUCGAUUCAUCACGAACUACGAGCCGACUUGCAACACUUGUGAAUCCAAGUGUGAGACAAUUAAGUGUGUGAGAGUGUGGUGAGGUUCUUUCGAACUAACUUGUGUUUAGCUUUGUAGGCUUGUUCUUUUCUUUUUUUUUUUAGGUACAAUUACAAGGGAACCCGNNNN